UCGAGAAUCAUUCGCAAUGGGCGAAAGCCUGACGAUGCGACGCUGUGUGAGUGAAGAAGGCCUUCGGGUCGUAAAACUCUUUCGCCUGGGAACAAGAGAGGUUGGCUAACAUCCAGCUAAUUUGAGGGUACCAGGUAAAGAAGCACCGGCUAACUCCGUGCCAGCAGCUGCGGUAAUACGGAGGGUGCAAGCAUUAAUCGGAUUUAUUGGGCGUAAAGGGCGCGUAGGCGGGAAUGUAAGUCAGACGUGAAAUCCCGGGGCUCAACCCCGGAACAGCAUUUGAAACUGCAUUUCUAGAGGGUAGGCGGAGGAAACGGAAUUCCACAAGUAGCGGUGAAAUGCGUAGAUAUGUGGAAGAACACCGGUGGCGAAGGCGGUUUCCUAGCUUACUCCUGACGCUAAAGCGCGAAAGCAAGGGGAUCAAACA
rnacentral:rRNA from 1 species